rnacentral:rRNA from 1 species
UGGGGAAUAUUGCACAAUGGGCGCAAGCCUGAUGCAGCGACGCCGCGUGGGGGAUGACGGCCUUCGGGUUGUAAACCUCUUUCAGCAUCGACGAAGCGCAAGUGACGGUAGAUGCAGAAGAAGCACCGGCCAACUACGUGCCAGCAGCCGCGGUAAUACGUAGGGUGCGAGCGUUGUCCGGAAUUACUGGGCGUAAAGAGCUCGUAGGUGGUUUGUCGCGUUGUUCGUGAAAACUCACAGCUUAACUGUGGGCGUGCGGGCGAUACGGGCAGACUGGAGUACUGCAGGGGAGACUGGAAUUCCUGGUGUAGCGGUGGAAUGCGCAGAUAUCAGGAGGAACACCGGUGGCGAAGGCGGGUCUCGUGGGCAGUAACUGACGCUGAGGAGCGAAAGCGUGGGGAGCGAACAGGAUUAGAUACCCUGGUAGUCCACGCCGUAAACGGUGGGUACUAGGGUGUGGGUUUCCUCCGUUGGGAUCCGUGCCGUAGCUAACGCUAAG